rnacentral:rRNA from 1 species
GUCUACGGCCAUGACCUCCUGAACAAGCUGGAUCCCGUCUGAUCUUGGAAGCUAAGCAGGGUAGGGGCUGGUUAGUGCUUGGAUGGGAGACCACCUGGGAAGACCAGGUGCUGUAGGCG